rnacentral:rRNA from 1 species
UACGUAGGGUGCAGGCGUUAAUCGGAAUUACUGGGCGUAAAGCGUGCGCAGGCGGCCUUUUAAGUCAGAUGUGAAAUCCCCGGGCUUAACCUGGGAACUGCGUUUGAAACUGGAAGGCUAGAGUGUGGCAGAGGGGGGUGGAAUUCCACGUGUAGCAGUGAAAUGCGUUAGAGAUGUGGAGGAACACCGAUGGCGAAGGCAGCCCCCCUGGGCUAACACUGACGCCUCAUGCACGAAAGCGUGGGGAGCAAACAGG